rnacentral:rRNA from 1 species
CCUACGGGAGGCAGCAGUGGGGAAUAUUGCACAAUGGGGGAAACCCUGAUGCAGCGACGCUGCGUGAGUGAAGAAGUACUUCGUUACGUAAAGCCCUAUCAGCAGGGAAGAAAAUGACGGUACCUGAGGAAGAAGCCCCGGCUAACUACGUGCCAGCAGCCGCGGUAAUACGUAGGGGGCAAGCGUUAUCCGGAUUUACUGGGUGUAAAGGGAGCGUAGACGGCAGUGCAAGACUGGAGUGAAAGGCGGGGGCCCAACCCCCGGACUGCUCUGGAAACUGUACGGCUGGAGUGCAGGAGAGGUAAGUGGAAUUCCUGGUGUAGCGGUGAAAUGCGUAGAUAUUAGGAGGAACACCGGUGGCGAAGGCGGCUUACUGGACUGUAACUGACGUUGAGGCUCGAAAGCGUGGGGAGCAAACAGGAUUAGAUACCCUUGUAGUC